AGAGUUUGAUCCUGGCUCAGGAUGUAUAAAAAAAAGGGCAGGCCUAAUACAUGCAAGCUGAACGGUAAAUGUCAUAGCAAUAUAAUAUGAGAGUAGCGUAAGGGUGCGUAACACGUAUGCAAUCUACCCGCAACAGGAGGAUAGCUCCCCGAAAGGGGAAUUAAUACUCCAUAAGAUCACGAGAGGGCAUCUGAUUGUGAUUAAACUCCAAGGGGUUGUGGAUGAGCAUGCGCAUGAUUAGUUAGUUGGCGGGGUAACGGCCCACCAAGACGAUGAUCAUUAGGGGAACUGAGAGGUUGAUCCCCCACACUGGCACUGAGAUACGGGCCAGACUCCUACGGGAGGCAGCAGUAGGGAAUAUUGGUCAAUGGGUGAGAGCCUGAACCAGCCAUGCCGCGUGCAGGAAGACGGCCUUCUGGUUUGUUUACUGCUUUUAUCUGGGGAUAAAAUAUCCUUGCGAGGAGAAUUGAAGGUACCAGAGGAAUAAGCCACGGCUAACUACGUGCCAGCAGCCGCGGUAAUACGUAGGUGGCUAGCGGAUGUCCUGAUUCAUAUAUGGUGGUUUUAAAGGGUGGGCCUAAGGCGCCUCUUUGUGUAAAUGUUUCAUCUGGGUGGGAAAUAUUUCCGCGCGCAGGGUCUCCAACUCGUGUCGCGAGGGUGCCACUUGAUACUUUGGCAGGAGGGCUAGGAGUUCUGAUUGAGGGGUAGGGCCGGGAAUGGGACGGUGGUAUCCGGGUGAAAAUGCUUUGAUAUUUCGUUCCAGAACCCCCCGAUAGCGAAAGGCCAGGCUUACUUAAAGGAGUGUACUGACCGCUGGAGGCACCGAAAGUGUGGGGAUUCAAACCAGGAUUUAGAUUACCCUUGGUAGUUCACACACUUGUUAAAACGGUGAUUACACUAGAUGUUUGGCCGAAUCACACUGGCCAACGAUUCCAGCAAAAGCGAUAAGUGAUCCACCUGGGGAGUACCGCCCGCAAAGGGUGAAACUCAAAGGAAUUGAACGGAGGGUCCGCCCACAAGCGGUGGGAGCAUGUGGUUUAAAUUCGAUGGUACGCGAGGAACCUUACCUGGGCUAGAAAUGCCCCUUGACCGAUCCAGAGAUGGAUUUUUUUCGCAAGAACAAGGAGCAAGGUGCUGCAUGGCUGUCGUCAGCUCGUGCCGUGAGGUGUUGGGUUAAGUCCCGCAACGAGCGCAACCCCUAUCUUUAGUUGCCAGCACGUAAUGGUGGGGACUCUAGAGAGACUGCCUGCGCAAGCAGAGAGGAAGGAGGGGAUGACGUCAAGUCAUCAUGGCCCUUACGCCCAGGGCUACACACGUGCUACAAUGGCGUAUACAAAGUGUUGCAAGCCAGCGAUGGUAAGCCAAUCACAAAAAGUACGUCUCAGUUCGGAUUGCAGGCUGCAACUCGCCUGCAUGAAGUUGGAAUCGCUAGUAAUCGCAGAUCAGCAAUGCUGCGGUGAAUACGUUCCCGGACCUUGUACACACCGCCCGUCAAGCGAUGGAAGUUUGGAGGACAGGGAAGACAGUUGUUGCAAGACGCUGUUUAGGGUUAACCUUUUUACUGGCGCUAAGUCGUAACAAGGUAACC
rnacentral:rRNA from 1 species